CUGAAUUUAAUUGUACUACUUAUUUUUGCACUGUACAACUUUAGAAAAUUAACCAGGCUUUAGACUUGGAGAUUCGAAUCGUUACGAACUGCAAUUUAUACGAAUUUGGGUCAAUCAGGUGACUGUGUAGCCGAACGGCAAAUCAGCCAAUACACUAAAAGGCUGAGUAUGUUCAUUUUGAUUCGUGAUUCUGAAGCACACCAGUGGAACCAAAAAUAAAGAGAUGAUUGUCGGCUAGGGGACAGUCAAUAAAUCAUUUUAUUCACAGGUCAAAUGAGAAGUGACCAAUUGAUUAAAAAAAAAGUGAAG